CCUACGGGUGGCAGCAGUGGGGAAUUUUGCGCAAUGCUCGUAAGAGUGACGCAGCGACGCCGCGUGAAUGACGACGGCCUUCUGGUCGUAAAGCUCUUUCUAUAGGGAAGAAAAUGCCUAUAAGUAACUGUGUAUGUAUUGAUGGUACCUGUAUAAGCAGCCUCGGCCAACUCCGUGCGAGCAGCCGCGGCAAUACGGUGGGGGCGAGCGUUGUUCGGAGUGACUGGGCGUAAAGAGCACGUAGGCGGUGGUGUAAGUCAUUAGUCAAAGACUAGAGCUCAACUUUGGUAAGGCUUGUGAUACUGUAAUACUAGAGUAUCAGAGAGGAAUGCAGAAUGCCUGGUGUAGCGGUGAAAUGCGUAGAGAUCAGGAGGAAUACCGAUAGCGAAGGCGGCAAACUAGCUGGAGACUGACGCUGAGGUGCGAAAGCGUGGGUAGCAAACAGGAUUAGAUACCCUGGUAGUC
rnacentral:rRNA from 1 species